rnacentral:rRNA from 1 species
CCUACGGGGGGCAGCAGUAGGGAAUCUUGCACAAUGGACGAAAGUCUGAUGGAGCAACGCCGCGUGAGUGAAGAAGGGUUUCGGCACGUAAAGCCCUGUUGGUAGUGAAGAAAGAUAGAGGAAGUAACUGGCCUUUAUUUGACGGUAAUUACUUAGAAAGUCACGGCUACCUCCGUGCCAGCAGCCGCGGUAGUACGUAGGUGGCCAGCGUUGUCCGGAUUUAUUGGGCGUAAAGCGAGUGAAGGCGGUUCAAUAAGUCUGAUGUGAAAGCCUUCGGCUCAACCGGAGAAUUGCAUCAGAAACUGGUGAACUUGAGUGCAGAAGAGGAGAGUGGAACGCCAUGUGUAGCGGUGGAAUGCGUAGAUAUAUGGAAGAACACCAGUGGCGAAGGCGGCUCUCUGGUCUGCAACUGACGCUGAGGCUCGAAAGCAUGGGUAGCGAACAGGAUUAGAUACCCUGGUAGUC